rnacentral:tRNA from 1 species
GCGGGGGUACCCAAGGCAGCUUUUCCAAAAAGUUGCAUCAAAAGGGAAAGUUGUGGGAAUCUGGUCAAAGGGGCAGGACUUAAGAUCCUGUGGCUUAGUGUCUGCGAGAGUUCAAAUCUCUCCCCCCGCA